rnacentral:rRNA from 1 species
UACGUAGGGGGCUAGCGUUGUCCGGAUUUAUUGGGCGUAAAGAGCGUGUAGGCGGCCAGGUAGGUCUGGUGUGAAAACUCGAGGCUUAACCUCGAGAUGUCAUCGGAAACCAUUUGGCUAGAGUCCGGAAGAGGAGAGUGGAAUUCCUGGUGUAGCGGUGAAAUGCGCAGAUAUCAGGAAGAACACCAAUAGGCGAAAGCAGCUCUCUGGGACGGUACUGACGCU